GACGAACGCUGGCGGCGUGCUUAACACAUGCAAGUCGAACGGAAAGGCCCUGCUUUUGUGGGGUGCUCGAGUGGCGAACGGGUGAGUAACACGUGAGUAGCCUGCCCUUGACUUUGGGAUAACUUCAGGAAACUGGGGCUAAUACCGGAUAGGAGCUCCUGCUGCAUGGUGGGGGUUGGAAAGUUUCGGCGGUUGGGGAUGGACUCGCGGCUUAUCAGCUUGUUGGUGGGGUAGUGGCUUACCAAGGCUUUGACGGGUAGCCGGCCUGAGAGGGUGACCGGCCACAUUGGGACUGAGAUACGGCCCAGACUCCUACGGGAGGCAGCAGUGGGGGAUAUUGCACAAUGGGCGGAAGCCUGAUGCAGCAACGCCGCGUGCGGGAUGACGGCCUUCGGGUUGUAAACCGCUUUCGCCUGUGACGAAGCGUGAGUGACGGUAAUGGGUAAAGAAGCACCGGCUAACUACGUG
rnacentral:rRNA from 1 species